UUCUCUUAUGUCUUCUUCACACAUAUUUCAUGACGGCUUCGAAACGUCUUUCUCUCUUGCAUUAUUUUCGUGACUGUUCAUUUUCUCUCACUCGCAUUAGCCAAUCUUGCAUUUGAUUUUUUUUUUCCUCCUAACUUCUGAUGCUCUUGCUAGCUAGAGAAGCUCCUCAAAGAAGUUUUAAAAAAAAAAAUAUUUUGCAAUGAUCUAUCUAUUAGGAGAUAUGAUAUUCUCUAUAUUCUCGUUUACGUUGUUUACGAUGCUAAAGAUAUUCCCCCAUGUAACUGUAAAACCUUUAUAUUGCGAUGAAUGUAGAACGAUCUCCUCAAGGAGACUUUCACUAUCUCUACUCUAGCUCUUUUUUCUCUCUAGCCUGAAAUAAUUGUAGAGUGAACUUCACGACAACGUUAUCAUUCAUACCCAUCUUCUUUUACACAUUUUCUUUAAAACACGUUACAUGCACCCCUUAAUAUCAUGUUGGGAAAAUAAACAUGAACCAAGAAAUCAGAUUCCCACAAUAAAAUCUCUGUUUCUG
rnacentral:sRNA from 1 species